rnacentral:pre_miRNA from 1 species
UUUAUACUCCCUCCGUCCGAAAAUACUUGUCAUAGAAAUAGAUGUAUCUAGACGUAUUUUAGUUAUAGAUACAUCUAUUUUCAUCUAUUUCUGUGACAAGUAAUUCCAGACGGAGGGAGUACUAA